rnacentral:lncRNA from 10 species
GCGGGAAGAAAAUGCCAGGCCUCACUGUGCGGGGCAAGUCAAGGGAAAAAUCCUGGAUUCAGCCGCACAAGCGGAGGGGCAGGAGGAAGACCUAUCAUAGCCUCCUCUUAUGAAACCUUUUGUGCUGGGCCACUCCUGUACCCACGUGAUCUCACCUGAUCCUUACAACAGCCUUUCGAGUCUGGCACCCUUGGAUUCCCAGUUACAGAUGAGGACACAGGGGUCCAGAGAGGCUGAGACUUGCCUGGGGCCACACAGCAAGUCAGGCAUGGGGAUAGCAAGGACACCAGGCAGCUUGCCCUGCGGCCCAAACCCUCGUCUUUGUCCAGCCACUAGAGGACAAGAGCGUCAGGUGCCAGUUGUGUCGAGGAGAGACCCUGUGAGAGAGGCUGUGGGAAAAGCACAGUGCCUGGCACAAAGGGAGAGGUCUGAGUAAAAGUCAAGGUGGCUUCCUGGAGGAGGCCACUGUGCUCUCCGGCGGCAGGAGAAGCAGGAAUAGAAGGAGUUUCCGGAAAAGGAAGAGGGAGAAGCUGUGUUCAGCGCCUGCGCCGUGUGUGGAGUGCAAACUGUCUGCAGGAGCCGAAUCAUUGAAUCUUCCAGCAAUCCUGUACUCCAGCCAUCCCCAUUUUACAGAUGAGAAAACUGAGGCUGGGGGUGGAAAUAAUUUAUUCACUCAGGGAGUAAAAGCUGGAGCCAGAAUUUAAACCCAGCUGGCAAUGAUGCCCCCCUUCCCUCCCUCCUCGGGUCUUUACGGCAUCCUCAUGGUGUGCUGGAUUCACAGAGGGCAUUCCAGCUCGGACCUGCUCCAAGGCCAGGAGCGCAGAACACCAGCAGAGGUGGGAGACCAGACUGGGCCACCCACAGGCCGGGAUGUGGGGGUGGGAGGGGGCGGGGCUGAGAGGGACGAUUUGGGGCUUUCGCUAAGGAAGGAAACCUCUUGCAGAAUUUCUUUCUGUAGUGUUUGGUUUUGAAUAUCCACACAAGUGCACAGAAAAAAAGGAACAACCCAAACAGCGUGGAAGGGGACAAAGGGUGGAAAGUCGGUGUCCUUUCCCCUCCCUCAGGUCCCCACUCCCUCCACCACUGCCGCCAGUCUCUUGGGUCUCUGGAGAUGGUGUGAACAUCUACACACGCAUCUAUCUGGUCAUCUUCUUUACCUUUUUCUCCAAGUAGCAGCUUGCUUUACCUCAGUCCCACUCCCUCCUUUUUUCCCCCUUGGAUUAAUCCAUACUUCUACUACUACUACUACUACUACUACUACUACUACUACUGCUAAUGCUUUUAUUUUUAAAUUAAUUAUUAUUUAUUUAAGAGGCAGAGUCUCACUGUGUCACCCAG